rnacentral:siRNA from 1 species
AACGGAAAUUUAACGGCAUGCCUU